AAAGCUCAGCCAGCAAAAUCAUCUUUGUGGAACUUGAGAAGUACAUAUUUGCAUAUAAUUGAUGAAGAGAUGGAAUUAAGUUUUAAAUAAUUUUAAUCUCCUAAUAGAGCAGAAAUUGCAUUAAAACCAUAAGUCAUAUACUCAGAGACUUUCAGGGGCCACAUGUGAAGGACGGAAAUAGUAGAACCAUGUGAAUUAAAAAAUAAAAAUAAGCUCUGCCUAAAGACAUUAAAAUGGAGUGUUUAAAAAUCCUAAAACUCACUAGCAGAUGUGUUGGGGGUGGGGGUUGGGGUUCAGUUUGCCAAACCUGCUCUGAAUUUCCUUCUGUCAUUUUAUCUUCACUGAUCCUUUUAAUUGUACACUAUGAGAACUUUGGGGAAAUUGUCCAAGGUAGGAAGAUAAGCCACUCUAGGUCACCUAAUAAGCCAGGCUACUGAAGCUCAGGACUAUAGACUCUGUCUCCUAUAGCAAUCAUUAGGCCCUACUUCCUCCCCAAUUGCUGAGGAUACUACUUGUGCCUGGUGGGAUGGCCUUACCAAGCACUGUAGCACUUGAGAGUCUUCAGUUUAUUAACCACAAUGUAUCUGGAGGUUUUCUUCCCUACUUCCUGGUGCCAGAACUUCAACAUCAUAUCCUAUUGCCCCAGCCCUUCUCGUUUUAUUAUCUUUCCCUCAGAAACCUACAACUCUUUAAAAUAUCUUUUUAAUUGAUGUUUUCUUGGUGCAACUUCACAGAACCUUGUUUCCUUUGCACACAUAAAAGGGUAAAAUUGCAGCUUGGCUGGAAUAUCUCCUGGUCUUUACCAAGGUACCAGAGUGAGAUGCACCCAACAGAAAGGCUUCUGGUCUAUAAUGGAAAAGAUAUUACAGCAAAGGAAACAGGAACAACAAAAAUUUCUCAAAGUCAUUAACUGGCUGCGCUGAGCAUCUGUACUUUGUUAAAUACUGCAGUCUCCAGCUUUAAAACAUUUUUGUUAAUAAUAAUAGCUACCAUUUAGUGAGCUCCUUGUCUGAGCCAGGCGCUCUCCAAGUUGCUUUUCACAUUACAUCUCACAGCACUAAUACCAUCUCUCAUUUUAUUGCUCAGGUUAUACCCUAAUGAGUGGGGAGCCAGGAUUUCAACCCAAGUCUAGCCCUUAAUCUCUUCAUUCCUUACUGUACUUGUUCUAUCUUGUAUUGAGAAAUAUGUCUUACCCGUUCCCAGUACUACCCCUGCAUUAUGGCCUGGGGGCAAAUGAAUUGGCCCUUUGCUAGGCCUUGCUCAGUGAGAGUACAGUGAAGGAAGGAGGACUAAGGAUAGCAGUGAAAUCCUCCUUUAUCCUGGAACUCCUUUUGGAAGGAGAGAACUAUUAGACUUGAAUUUUCUUCUAAGGCCAUAAAUGAAAUUACCAAGAGAGGCAACACUGUGCCUUUUUUUGCUAUGGUGCUAGAAUCUUAAAAGUCAGCUAACUCUGACACUGAGUCUGUAAUUUAAUUAAACAUCUUGAAGGUGUCUCCAACAGCUUGACAUAAGGCCAGCUUCAUAUUCUUGGAAAAAGAUAGGUGGGAAAAAAAAGCUAUCUAUUUAGAAGUUCACCUACUGAGUUUGGCCAUCAGGGCCACAGCAUUCAAUUUGCCUUAUGAAAAUGACAGUCUUCAUGCCAUUUUAGGAUUCAAUAGCAACCCAUUUACCUAGGGCUCAGCCAUCUUGACAACUCUACCAAUCCAUACUUCCUGAGCCUAAAAUGCAAACAGGUGGUUUGACGAUGAGAACUUGACACAGAGUUGGAAAAAUCAGCAGAAGUUCAACACUCAAAAUGAGCCAAAAGUAGGAAGUAAGCAAACAAGGCUCCUGACCAGUUGAAGUAAAUGCUGUAAAGCAAACACAUAAGAGAAAGGCCAUACCUCUGUACAUCAGGCACCUGCUCAGAACUUAUUCUUACUUCAUACACAAUUCAAAAUGUUUGGAAAGUUUCUAAGCCUAUAGCAGAUUAAGGGAGAGAAACAGACUUCCAGAAAAACUUGGGUCAAGAAAGAAGAAGCGACUAAAGGGCUUCAGAAAUCCUGUUUGUGUGGAGAAGACUUAAGCAGCUCCAUACACAGCUCAAUCCCAGAGAGUCUCACUGUAUCAGGACAAUAUGAUUAUAUUCAACAUGAUGACCAUAAGCAUCACACCCAAGAAAACUAAAUUCUGCCUGGAAGAAGGCAAUAAUUUGUAGGGUGAAUAUUUUAGAAAUAUAUCAUAAAUGAUAAGACUUGUUAGGGAUUGAAAGGAAUAAGCCCUUAACAAUAUAGAACAUUCAGCUAAACAAAAUAUGUGUCCCUUUACCUGAGGUUGCAUUGUUCCACAAGUCUCUUUUAUUUAAGGGUUUUGUGUGUGUGUGUGUGUGUGUGUGUGUGUGUUUUCACAUAUCUGUAAGUGACUUUCAUGCUACAGUGCUUUGCAUAUAAUGGCAUGAACAAUGGAAGUGCCAAGUUUUCAUUGUGAUGAAUAAAACUAAUAACCAGAAUACAUGUCAAAUUCUGUUACAACAAAUACUGCUACUGUAAAAAUCACUUAAGCAGCCCUGUUAUCUUUAAGUCCUGUCAAUUGCCCAUUUAUUUUAGGCAAGAGUCAUUACAACAAAAUUGCAGUAUAAUAAAAAGAAACUAUACCCUCCCCACAAGUUGGGUGUAACACAGUUGAACCUGUAAUAACAGAUUCUCACUUUUAUUUUCCCAGCUCUUUGCUUGCAAGAAGAAUAAAAC
rnacentral:lncRNA from 1 species